rnacentral:rRNA from 1 species
GUCAGAGGGGGGUAGAAUUCCACGUGUAGCAGUGAAAUGCGUAGAUAUGUGGAGGAAUACCAAUGGCGAAGGCAGCCCCCUGGGAUAACACUGACGCUCAUGCACGAAAGCGUGGGGAGCAAACAGGAUUAGAUACCCUGGUAGUCCACGCCCUAAACGAUGCUGACUAGUUGUUCGGGAUUUACAUCCUGAGUAACGUAGCUAACGCGUGAAGUCAGCCGCCUGGGGAGUACGGUCGCAAGAUUAAAACUCAAAGGAAUUGACGGGGACCCGCACAAGCGGUGGAUGAUGUGGAUUAAUUCGAUGCAACGCGAAAAACCUUACCUACCCUUGACAUGUCACUAACGAAGUAGAGAUACAUUAGGUGCUCGUAAGAGAAAGUGAACACAGGUGCUGCAUGGCUGUCGUCAGCUCGGUGUCGCGAGAUGUUGGGUUAAGUCCCGCAACGAGCGCAACCCUUGUCUUUAGUUGCUACGCAAGAGCACUCUAAAGAGACUGCCGGUGACAAACCGGAGGAAGGUGGGGAUGACGUCAAGUCCUCAUGGCCCUUAUGGGUAGGGCUUCACACGUCAUACAAUGGUGCAUACAGAGGGUUGCCAA